rnacentral:rRNA from 1 species
CGCAUCAGAUUAGCCAGUUGGUGGGGUAAAGGCCUACCAAAGCGACGAUCAGUAGCCGGCCUGAGAGGGUGACCGGCCACACUGGAACUGAGAUACGGUCCAGACUCCUACGGGAGGCAGCAGUGGGGAAUCUUCCGCAAUGGGCGAAAGCCUGACGGAGCAACGCCGCGUGAGCGAAGAAGGUCUUCGGAUUGUAAAGCUCUGUGAUAUUGGACGAACAAUUUCCCGUAAAUAAUGGGAAGGACACGGCUAACUACGUGCCAGCAGCCGCGGUAAUACGUAGGUGGCAAACGUUGUCCGGAAUUACUGGGCGUAAAGGGCGAGUAGGUGGUUUAUUAAGUCAAGAGUGAAAGAUCAGGGCUCAACUAUUGUAAGCCUUGUGAACUGUAAGACUUGAGUGCAGGAGAGGAAAGUGGAAUUCCUAGUGUAGCGGUGAAAUGCGUAGAUAUUAGGAGGAACACCAGUGGCGAAGGCGACUUCCUGGCUUGUAACUGACACUGAGGCGCGAAAGCGUGGGGAUCAAACAGGAUUAGAUACCCUGGUAGUCCACGCCGUAAACGAUGAGUGCUAGGUGUAGAGGGUAUCGACCCUCGGUGCCGCAGUUAACGCAAUAAGCACUCCGCCUGGGGAGUACGGUCGCAAGACUGAAACUCAAAGGAAUUGACGGGGACCCGCACAAGCAGCGGAGCAUGUGGUUUAAUUCGAAGCAACGCGAAGAACCUUACCAAGGUUUGACAUCCCCUUGACAGAUGCAGAGAUGUGUCCUCCCCUUCGGGGGCAAGGGAGACAGGUGGUGCAUGGUUGUCGUCAGCUCGUGUCGUGAGAUGUUGGGUUAAGUCCCGCAACGAGCGCAACCCUUAUCCUUAGUUGCCAGCAAGUUAAGUUGGGCACUCUAAGGAGACUGCCGAUGAUAAAUCGGAGGAAGGUGGGGAUGACGUCAAAUCAUCAUGCCCCUUAUAUCUUGGGCUACACACGUGCUACAAUGGUCGGUACAAAGGGCAGCGAAGGAGUGAUCUGGAGCAAAUCCCAAUAAACCGAUCCCAGUUCGGAUUGUAGGCUGCAACUCGCCUACAUGAAGUCGGAGUUGCUAGUAAUCGCGAAUCAGAACGUCGCGGUGAAUGCGUUCCCGGGUCUUGUACACACCGCCCGUCACACCAUGGAAGUUG